AGGCAGUUGUCUCAAAGAAUCUGCUUCAUUUUCCUUGUCCACUCCAGGUCACCUGAGCCAUGUAUUCAGAGGUGCCAAAUCUGAGAACAUCAAGGCAGAGCCACAAGCAGAGCUGCCCGAAGCUCAGAUUCCCAUCCAUGGCAGUGAAAAGGAAGAACAAGGAAGACAUAAGAAGCAUCCAAGAGGAGAUGAAUCUCCAUCAACAGAAGGGUGAUCUACAAAACCAGGUAUGUGGAAGAGUGGCUGCCAAUCCAGUCAAGAAAUUUUCUGUCUCUUGUUCUUUACAGAACUUCAAUGAGAAGCUGCACACAGAGCUACAGGAAACUCAGGCUGGGCGCAAGACAAGUGAGAAGAGGCUGGAGGAUGAGAUGAAAAUCUUCCAAGAGGAAAUUAAUCUCCCUCAGGAGCAAGAGGCUCUCGAAAACCCAAUCUACACAAGCUCUGUCAUGCAGCCUGGUGCAGCAGCAGUGUUGUCUCAUGAUGCCCCCAGUCCCCAGCCUGAGAAGUGGAGCCUUUUCAGCUCGUUUAGGUCCAGUGUGGCCGCAGCUGCUCAGAAACAGGACACUGAGGAGAAGAACCUGGAGCUACUGAGGAAAAUGGUGAAGAUGGGAAAUCCCAUGAAGAAAUACCUGGAACUGGGAAAUAUUGGCAGCGGGUGAGUCCAACCACAGUUACUCCUACACAACCAUGGGGCA
rnacentral:lncRNA from 1 species